CAUUUUCGUUUUUUUUUCCUCCAAGUCGAUUCGACGAUAUAUUUUUCGCGUCGCGAUGCGUCAUAUCAGGAGGACGGCGGUGUCGGGCUCGGAACGAGCUUUCCGAAAUGUACUCACGGGCCUCGUGAGUCCAUCGGGAUCGAAAGUGAGGCACGUGAAGGCAAAGACGCGCGAUUUCCGUUUACUGAUGAAUUAUCUUUCUCGUAUUUUCGUCUUAUGUUAGUAAUAUCUUAACAAUUGCUCGGAAAUUAAGGGACGGGUCUUCAAAAGCCGGAAGUUCGAACGUUCCGGACUUUUAUCUCGAGAU
rnacentral:misc_RNA from 1 species